ACGGGGCGCACCAGGCGCGAAACCUUCGCAAUGCGCGAAAGCGCGACGAGGGGAGCCCGAGUGCCCUUCCUUUCGGGAGGGCUUUUCUGGAGCCUAAAAAGCUCCAGGAAUAAGGGCUGGGCAAGACGGGUGCCAGCCGCCGCGGUAAUACCCGCAGCUCGAGUGGUGGCCACUAUUAUUGAGCCUAAAGCGUCCGUAGCCGGACCCGUAAAUCCCUGGGUAAAUCCUGGCGCUCAACGUCAGGAAUUCCGGGGAGACUGCGGGUCUUGGGACCGGGAGAGGCCGGAGGUACUCCCGGGGUAGGGGUAAAAUCCUGUAAUCCCGGGGGGACCACCUGUGGCGAAAGCGUCCGGCUUGAACGGCUCCGACGGUGAGGGACGAAGGCCAGGGGAGCAAACCGGAUUAGAUACCCGGGUAGUCCUGGCUGUAAACGCUGCCCGCUUGGUGUUGUCGGUCUUUCGGGGGCCGGCAGUGCCGGAGCGAAGGUGUUAAGCGGGCCGCUUGGGGAGUACGGCCGCAAGGCUGAAACUUAAAGGAAUUGGCGGGGGAGCAC
rnacentral:rRNA from 1 species